rfam:Pan troglodytes isolate Yerkes chimp pedigree #C0471 (Clint) chromosome 1, whole genome shotgun sequence.
GCUGGGUGUGGUGGUGUGUGCCUGUAGUCCCAGCUGCUCGGGAGGCUGAGGCAGGAGGAUCACUUGAGCCCAGGAGGUAGGGUUUGCAGUGAGCUGAGAUUGUGCCACUGCACUCCAGCCUGGGCCACAGAGCGAGACCCUGUCUCCA